ACCAAGGCGACGAUCAGUAGCUGGUCUGAGAGGACGAUCAGCCACACUGGAACUGAGACACGGUCCAGACUCCUACGGGAGGCAGCAGUGAGGAAUAUUGGUCAAUGGGGGAAACCCUGAACCAGCGACGCCGCGUGUGGGACGAAGGGGCUUUGCCCUGUAAACCACUGUCGGAUGGGAAGAAAAGUCCCCCUUGGGGACUGGGACUGUACCAUUAAAGGAAGGGUCGGCUAACUACGUGCCAGCAGCCGCGGUAAUACGUAGGACCCGAGCGUUGUCCGGAAUUACUGGGUGUAAAGGGUGCGCAGGCGGGCUUGUGCGUCAGAGGUUAAAUCCCACAGCUUAACUGUGGAACUGCCUUUGAUACGGCAAGUCUUGAAUGCGAGCGAGGAAGGUAGAAUUCCUGGUGUAGCGGUGAAAUGCGUAGAUAUCAGGAGGAAUACCAGUGGCGAAGGCGGCCUUCUGGCUCGUUAUUGACGCUCAGGCACGAAAGCGUGGGGAGCAAACAGGAUUAGAUACCCUGGUAGUCCACGCCUUAAACGAUGUAUGCUUGGUGUUGGGAGUUUUUCUCAGUGCCGUAGGUAACCCGUUAAGCAUACCACCUGGGGAGUACGAUCGCAAGGUG
rnacentral:rRNA from 1 species